rnacentral:tRNA from 1 species
UUUCAGGUGGCCGAGCGGUCUAAGGCGGUAGCUUCAGGUGCUAUUCUCUUCGGAGGCGCAGGUUCGAACCCUGCCCUGGACA